rnacentral:misc_RNA from 1 species
GUCGAAGCAACCCCUAUCUGAAAAUUCGCGGUGGUGGAAGACUUGGAGGGGGAUGCAUGGAGUCCAACAGCGAAGCCCAACGCGCGCUGAUCGGUUAGUACGCGUGCAACGGUCCGAGGGAGGGAACCGGAGGGAUACGGAGGAGGCCGACAUACGGUAGAAGGGAGGCUCUCUACCGUCGACGAACGCUACCCUCUGCCCUUUCUCUUCGACUACGCUACGCCUCCUACCCUUUGCUCGUAGUGGCGCUGCUGUUGCAUCGAUCAGCCGUGCGCCGCCACCUCCGACACUCCCGAAAUGUUCGUCGCACUAAACCGGAAUUACUUUGUCGAAGGAUCGUCGAUCGAUCUCCGCUCUUCGACGAACCUUCUUCAACCUCUGACAGACAUCCCCUAACUUCAACACCUGCUUUUUAAAAGCAACUCUCCAAGAGGGUGAAGUACAGGGUGACCUUGAAACUGGUGGAGAAAGAGAGGAAUUUGGAAGGGUCGCGCGAACCUCAUCCCGAAAAGGAGAGAAACAGUCUUUACGCAGCUAUACUCUCUUCGUACGGCCAUCCUCCUCCAGCGAAGUUCUCGAGGAUCGAUAACCUUGAAGACGACGUAGAAUCCUCUCGACUCCCUUGACAGAUUACGGGCAGAUGCGAGGCGGAUUCGAUGCCGGAUGGAG